CCCACUUUCUCCCUCCCUCACGCUCUCCUCUUGGCCGACCAUGACCUCUCCCUCUCAUUCUUCCUCUCGUGCUCCUUCUCCCAUGGCUUCAUGCCCUUGAAUCCACCUUCUGCAGCACCAAAUCCAUAGGGGAAACCAGCAAAACGGAACGAGGGCAACGUGAGGAAGAAGGAGAGGUGUGCAUUCGAUGUAGAUCGGUUUUUCCCCAUCGUUUCCCCUCCCUAGGGUUUCAAGGGCGACAAAGUUUUUUUUUUGGCAUGUGAACACGGCCUACAUGAAAGAGCAUCGACCGCAGCAUGCGAUGAGGGUGAUCGCGAAGAGAGUGUUGACGCAGAGAGUGAUGAUGCAGAACUGGCCAACACACAAGCGCCAGAACGUGCAGGAUCGCAACAAUCAGAACAACAGCGACGAGAACAAUCAGAUCUCCUUACGCUCAGCUGUCCACCAAUCCGCCAAAGCCAGUGCGUUGGAAGAGGGCGCUCGGUCCUGCCAACCAAAUUUGAGAAAGGUCAUGUGCCACAGCUCCCUAGAGAAAGGGCAGCUGACCAAUAAAUGAUCAAUGGUUUCUGGUGACUGGCUGCAUAAGAUACACGAAUCAUGGUCCUGUAAGUUGUGUCUCUUGCGGCGGUGUGCUAUCCAACAGGGUCAUGUAUCGCUAGCCAGAUAAAAAAUUUGCACUUUGAGGGAGCGCGUGUUUUGCCAAGUAUUUUAGCUCCUUUAGCUGGGUGUUGGCCAAUAAAGAAAGACCGAUAUGCUGAGGCUGUGGUGAAUGUUUGAUCCGGAGUCCACCUCCAACAGACUCUAUCCGGAUGCUCAUGAAGUUGGACAUGUUGUAAUUUCUCCCAAAUCUGCAAGAAAUCCAAAAGUACUUGUACUGUUAGGGCCCCA